rnacentral:rRNA from 1 species
GGCGGGCCCGCCUUAACUGGCCGCCGGGGGGCUCACGCCCCCGGGCCCGCGCCCGCCGAAGACACCCUCGAACUCUGUCUGAAGAUUGUAGUCUGAGUGAAAAUAUAAAUUAUUUAAAACUUUCAACAACGGAUCUCUUGGUUCCGGCAUCGAUGAAGAACGCAGCGAAAUGCGAUACGUAAUGUGAAUUGCAAAUUCAGUGAAUCAUCGAGUCUUUGAACGCACAUUGCGCCCCCUGGUAUUCCGGGGGGCAUGCCUGUCCGAGCGUCAUUGCUGCCCUCAAGCACGGCUUGUGUGUUGGGCCCCGUCCUCCGAUUCCGGGGGACGGGCCCGAAAGGCAGCGGCGGCACCGCGUCCGGUCCUCGAGCGUAUGGGGCUUUGUCACCCGCUCUGUAGGCCCGGCCGGCGCUUGCCGAUCAACCCAAAUUUUUAUCCAGGUUGACCUCGGAUCAGGUAGGGAUACCCGCUG